rnacentral:lncRNA from 1 species
CUUCCUCUUUCUGUUCAUAAACAUUCUUCCACGACGUGCUGUGCUGGAAUCCCUGAGCCUGCUCUGGCCUGGGAGGCUGCCUGAUUUGGCCUCUCUCAUGGAGCAACAGUCUUCCCACAGAGAGUAAAGUCAUCACAGUGGAGGCUUGCUCAACCUUUACAAAUUCUAAAACCACAGGCCAACAUUAACUUCCUCCAUUUCUCACCGGAAAUCAACAUGGCCACCACCAUCGUGCCUCAUCCUGCUCCUCUUGGACUGUAAAUCAUGGCUUGUUCAUUGUAAGCCGUCAAUUGCAUGUUGUUUCAGUUGUCUGCCAACUCAAUUCUAUCAGUGUGUUUUGACUGAUAGAAUUUUGUAAACUCCCUUUUACAUUUAUUUGUAUUUGACGAGAUGGUUUGAUUUUGUUGAGCUGUCUUCCUCUUUGUUAUCCCUCCUAUCACAGUUCUUGGAGCUCACUACCCCUUUUCAGAUUGUCAUGGGCAGGCAAAUUGCUGGUCCCCUCGCCUUGCAAGGUCCUUUGCAUAACCACACAGUUUUCACUUGAAAAGACAAUAGAGUUGCCAGAUAAAAUACAGGCCCCUGCAAGAUCUGGAACACACUCUGCACGAUGCCAUGCAGUAUUUGGGAUAUACUUAUGCCAAAACUUGUUCAUUAUUUAUGUGAAAUUCAAGUUUAAUUUGAAUUAAAUAUUGGCACCCGUAUUUUUAUUUGUUAAAUUUUUAUUUGUUAAAUAUUUGUUAAACUUUUAUUUGAUAUACUUAUGCCAAAACUUGUUCAUUAUUU